rnacentral:lncRNA from 1 species
UUCUGGUGGCACCUGAUGGGAUUCUGGCUCCACCUGGUGGGAUCUGGCAGCUUCUGGUAGAUCUGGUGGCACCUGAUGGGGCACGGUGGGAUCCAGUGGCACCUGGUGGCACCUGGGGACAUCUGGUGGCACCGGAUGGGACUCAAUGGGAUCUGAUGGGACCUGGGGGCACCUGGGGGGAUCCAGUGAGACCUGGGGACAUUUGGUGGCAUCAGAUGGGAUCUGAUGGGAUCUGAUGGGACCUGGGGGCACCUGGGGACAUUUGGUGGCAUCUGAUGGGAUCAGAUGGGAUCAGAUGGGGCCUGGGGACAUUUGGUGGCAUCAGAUGGGAUCAGGUGGGAUCUGGUGGGACCUGGGGACAUUUGGUGGCAUCAGAUGGGAUCUGGUGGCACCUGGUGGGAUGCAAUGGGAUUCAAUGGGACCUGGGGACACUUGGUGGCACCUGGUGGCAUCUGGUGGCUGUCACAUAUCCACGUGUCACAUCCUCACACGUGUCACAUGUCCUGUGUCACAUCCCCACGUGUCACAUCCCCACAUCACGUCCCCACACGUCACAUCCCCCGCAUGUCCACCAUCACAUGUAUUACACCUGCACAUGCCAUGUCCCCACGCGUGUCAUAUGCCCACGUGUCCCCCUCUCACACGUGUUGUGUUCACACACACAUCAUACCCACACGUGUUGUGUCCCCACACAUCACACCCCACACGUCUUGUGUUAUAUCCUCACACGUGUCAUAGCUCAUACAUGUUGCAUCCACACGUGUCCCACUCUCAUAUGUUGUGUCCCCACACGUGUCACACCCCACGUUGUGUUCCCACACAUGUUAUAUCCUCACACGUGUCAUACCUCAUGCAUGUUACAUCCCCACACGUGUCACACCCCACAUGUUGUGUCCCCACACGUCACACUCCACACAUGUUGUGUCCCCACAUGUGUCACACCCCACAUGUUGUGUCCCCACACGUUAUAUCCUCACACGUGUCAUACCUCAUGCAUGUUACAUCCCCACACGUGUCCCCCUCUCACACGUGUUGUGUCCCCACACAUGUCACACCCCACGUUGUGUCCCCACACGUGUCAAUCCUACACGUGUUGUGUUAUACCCUCACACAUACCUCCUACAUGUUACAUCCCCACACGUGUCCCCCCUCACAUGUGUUGUGUCCCCACACACGUCAUACUCACACGUGUGUUGUGUCCCCACACAUCACACCCUACACGUGUUGUGUCCCCACGUGUCACACCCCACACAUCGUGUCCCCAUACUGUUAUAUCCUCACACGUUACAUUCCCACACGAGUCCCCCUCUCACAUGUGUUGUGUCCCCACCCACACGUUAUAUCCUCACACGUGUCAUAGCUCACACAUGCUACAUCCCCACACGUGUCCUCCUCUCACACGUGUUGUGUCCCUACAUGUGUCACACCCCAUACGUGUUAUGUCCCCACACGUGUCACACCCCACACGUGCUGUGUCCCCACACGUUAUAUCCUCACACGUGUCAUAGCUCACACAUGUUACAUCCCCACACGUGUCCCCCUCUCACACGUGUUGUGUCCCUACAUGUGUCACACCCCAUACGUGUUAUGUCCCCACACGUGUCACACCCCACACGUGUUGUGUCCCUGCACAUGUUGUAUCCCCACACCCGUGUUAUGUCCCCACACACGUCACGCCCCACACGUGUUUUAUCCCCACACGUGUCACACCCCACACGUAUUGUGUUCCCACACGUUAUAUCCUCACACGUGUCAUACCUCACACGUGUUACAUCCUCACACGAGUCCCCCUCUCACACGUGUUGUGUCCCCACACAUGUCACACCCCACAUGUUGUGUCCCCACACGUGUUAUAUCCUCACACAUGUCAUACCU